AACGUAAAAAAAAUAUAUGCAUAGAACAAAUCACUCACGAACAAAUCAUCACUAUCCAACAAAAACCCUAAAAUCACUCUGUCAUCUUUCACGAACAAAUCGUGCAUCAUCGAGCGCCAUGGCCACCGUCUGAGCUUUCUUCCUUUGAUUCUGAGCUUUCUUCCGUCGAGAUUUUGAGCUCUCUUCUCUCUGCGAUUUGAACGUUCAUUCGUCACUUCUUUAUGCUUCAAUAAGUCACUUCUCCCUGUGAUUUUGUAAGAUUUGAGUUCAUAUCUGCGAUUUUGAAAGCUUUGAGUUCAUAUCUGAGCUUCUCUCUGCGAUUUUGUGAAAGUUGAAGCACUUGUAAUUCAAGGACCAAAACUUGCCAAUGUGAUGAGCCAAGUUAAGAAAUUGGAGGUCUCUAUCUUGGUACUAGGCCAAAAGAAGCCAUCUUCUUUCUUUACCUGGGAUCAAAAAAGUGUUGACUUCAAAAAAAUUGAUGCUCAUGUUCACCUGUUUAAGGAUAGCAGUGCAAAGGUAUACUAUUUUAUUGAACCAAUCCUAAAAUAUAAGGACCUAUUGUAUCCGCUUGUAGUCCCUGGUCAAACUAGCAUCCUCUAUCUCCCUGUAUCUAUCCUGGUUAAACUAGAUAAAGACCUACUGUAUCUCCUUGUAGUCUCUCAUAAAACCACUUUAACUAGCAUUUUGGAUAAACUGUUUAACAUAUAAAUGCUGGAUGUUUUACAUAUGUCGUAAAGGAGAAAAUGAUUUUUCAUUUGUGUGGUAGCUCAUUUCUGUCAAUUGCCACAGUUUGGGUCUAAUUUUCGGACAGAGUGGAAGCGGAAAAACAACUCUCUUGCAGGUCUUACAUCUUUUUACUCUUGUAAAUCUGCUUUAUUGAACAUUCAUGUUAUAUACAGAGCCGUUGCAGGAAUAAUGAAACCAACAUUUGGAUCCAUUCACAUUAAAAAAAUUGGGGAUGAUGGGAAUUCUAGUCAAUCUCCAAAGCCGUUGGUGCCGGAAAGGGUUGGUAUUGUCUUCCAGUAACAUAAACUUGGAUUCUUUUGUGCUUGUAGAUGGUAGAGAAGCCCUCUGGAUUUCAUCAAGCUGGCUAGACACACUUAUGCAUCAGUUCAAAGGAAGCAGCUCAAGAUAUAUACGCAGAACUUCCCAAAAAUUUCAAAUGCCUGAUGGAAUGUGAAGCUGCAGUUAUGUUACAAGUAAUUCAAGUUCAUAUGGCUAUGUUAUCCAGAGAUCCAGCUAUCAAAAUCCCACUUCUCUUCAAGCCUUGCAAGGUACUCGUGUUUAAUUAACAUUGCAGGACUCUCGUGAAAUAAUAGGAACUACAACUCUAGAGGCAUUUGAAGUGUAGAGUUGGUUUAUGCAGUCUGUUGGUUGCAGAAGGGUGAACUAUGGGUGAACAGUGUUGUCGAUUCAAAUCUUCUGGUUCUUCUCCACUCAGAUUCAUAUAUUCUGGCGACAUGAGUGGGCAUGGUUUUAUGACCUUGCAAUGGACAGAGGUUGAAAACAAUUUACGUCAUGUGCUCAGUAUUAAGGAAAAGGCCAAUUUGGAGAAGUCGGACUUGGUACCAGAUUUGAAAACUCUGAUGGAUAAACCAAGACUGUGGUUGAGUAAAUAGCCGUGAAGCUGUGUGAAUCAACAGCAGCAAGUCUUCAGGGCAAAAAGUUGGCUUCAUUUACAAAGAUUAUUGUGUAUUUUCUUUUCAUGAAAAACAACUGAUGUGUAUUUUUUUUGGUACUAUUGUGUAGUUGAUGGAAUAUAGUAAUAACAAAAGAUUAUGUAAUUCCUUUUCUCUGUUUUGAUAUGAUUUAUGUCAUGAUACUUAUAGCAC